UACGGAGGGAGCUAGCGUUAUUCGGAAUUACUGGGCGUAAAGCGCACGUAGGCGGCUUUGUAAGUAAGAGGUGAAAGCCCAGAGCUCAACUCUGGAAUUGCCUUUUAGACUGCAUCGCUUGAAUCAUGGAGAGGUCAGUGGAAUUCCGAGUGUAGAGGUGAAAUUCGUAGAUAUUCGGAAGAACACCAGUGGCGAAGGCGACUGACUGGACAUGUAUUGACGCUGAGGUGCGAAAGCGUGGGGAGCAAACAGG
rnacentral:rRNA from 1 species